UUACGGCCACAUCUCAUUCAAAUACCGGUUCUCAGACGAUCCCCGAAGUUAAGCAAGGUUGUGUCUGGUUAGCAUCCAGAUGGAUGACCGCUUGGGAAUACCAGAUGCUGUAAG